rnacentral:rRNA from 1 species
AAAGCGAAUAGUGAAAUCUGGGGGCUCAACCUCACAGACUAUCAUUCGAACUCACUGACUCGAGAAUGGUAGAGGUAACUGGAAUUUCUUGUGUAGGAGUGAAAUCCGUAGAUAUAAGAAGGAACACCAAUGGCGUAGGCAGGUUGCUGGACCAUUUCUGACACUGAGGCACGAAAGCGUGGGAGCGAACCGGAUUAGAUACCCGGGUAGUCCACGCCGUAAACUAUGGAUACUA